CGGGGCGUAGCGCAGCUGGCUAGCGCACUUGUAUGGGGUACAAGAAGUCGUGAGUUCAAAUCUCACCGCCCCGA
rnacentral:tRNA from 1 species